AGAAGAAGAAGAAGAAGAAGAAGAAGAAGAAGAAGCACUCUACACUCUGUUGAGUCUGUUGAGGGUCUCCCAAGACUUUUAAAUUGAUAUGUAAUGUGGCAUUUAAGUCCUUAUCAUUCUUGAUCUCUUUAAACUGUUUGUCAUUGUUGUCUCUUCUCCUUGGAAACUUUGUUCCUUAAUUUUUUGACUGUAUGGCCACCUUGAUUAUUUGACAGAGUACAUAUGUAUUUCAUUUUGUUCUCUAAUGCACAUCUUUACUUUUGACAACUACCAAACAUUCUUCUUCUCCUGGUCACAUUCUGGGACCAUUUCUCUUCUCAUACUGCCUAGUCACAUCAAGGAAACAUAUUAUAUGACUUCAACUACUACCUAGACACUAAUGAUUCCUAAAUCUGCAUUUAUGGCCCUGCCUUCUAAGUCUUUUGUCUUGUAAUGAUUUUGUACCAUCCGUUAUUAUCAGAGAGAAAGGGAUAACUGGAAAUAAGGCAUUCUUAGCUCUCCUCGAUUUAUCAAUAUGGAGGGAAUUUAUGUCAUAUUUCAUAAGAUUGAAAGUGAGAAUUUUAAGGUUUAUUCACAUGGAAACCAAAGAAAAAUUGUAUUUGGUAUCCUAUCCAUGCAUUUUCUCAGCAAUGGCAGACACAUUUUUCUGUGAUUGUAUAAAUCCCAGAUGACCUCCUUCUACAACUUUAUAACAGGCAGCAGAACAGCUUCUUUUAUAGGUGCUCAUCUCUCAAGGUAAGUUGUGAGAAUGAGUUUUCAAUAUGUCAUUAAAGGGACAAAUGAAUAUUGACAGUUGAGGCCGGGACCUUAUCAUUCCCUUUGCUUCAUGCUCUAAUAUUCUAACCUGCUGCUACUUAAAGUGACAGUGACAGUGAAACCCCAAUUCCUACAGAAUUAAAAAUCUUACAAGAAAAAAAAAGACAUGAUUCAAUUGCACUACCUUCUCUGCUACUAAGGUACAACAUAAUAUAGAAGUGUCUUCCCUGCUAAUUCUCGACUCAGCUUCCUCUUAUCUAAGAUGGAGAUAAUAAUGUCUGACCUAUCUCCAUUACUGCAUUGUGUUUGUUCAAGUCAUUAAGGGACUGUAGAUGGUAUUCAUGUAGAGGAGACCUUUAUUAAUAACCAACAGACAAAAUGAUACCAGAAAUAUAUGUUGGUAGGGGUUGAAAUGUAUAGGUUCCCAGGCAUGUUAAAAUACAGGGUUUCAUUCAUUGAGCUCUAAUGGACCUUUCAAAUGCCUAAUCUCAUUAUACUUUUUGUUUUAAAGAACAUUGAAAUUACCUUUCUAUGAUAGCUGCUACUCUUAUUUUGUUUGGGAUUUGGGCUUAUGUCUGUUUUAUUCUGAGUUGAAAUGUUAAAGGAGUUCUUUGACAUUUUUGAUCUGCAUACCUUGUGAAGUAUAAAUUCUGUAUCUUAGCUUUAAAAAAGAAGCAGGAACAAAGUCUACACGCUAUUUGAUGCUUGCUUUUGCCAUCAUUUAUAGAUGACAUUUUGAUGAACAUUCAGAAUGAAAUAAGUAUGUUUGUCUUGUCUCUCAUGUAGUUUUGGCACCUUUUGAAAAGCAUAUGUGUUUAUCAACGUGUGGCAGUAAUUUCUGAGAAGAGCAACAUAACCAUGUGGUAUAAAUUGCUCCUGGACCCAGUCAUUGGAAUAUUAGAGGGUACAGCACAAAACUUCGGGAACUACGGAAAUCUUGGAAUUUCAGUUCAUGCUCUCUACCAACAACAACUGUGUGACUCUGGACCUUCAGCUUCCCUUUGUUUCAAAUGAAAGAGUUAAAUGUAAUUUCUAAGUCCUAAUUAAUCAAGAUAUUCUGAAUUUACAUAGCCAAAUGAUUAAGUUUGCUAGUCUGUCUUAUGUUAUUAACUAGAUGAAGAAAAAGAAUUAGAACCUGGUGUCUUUAAA